rnacentral:lncRNA from 1 species
GAAUUCUUAAAGGCAGCGGUAUUGGUACCAGUGCUUAGUUCGGCGGCAGGGCCCGCAGUUCGAGAGGAAGAGGCCUGGAGGCCAGGCAGAGGGGACACUCGGAGGCCUUCCCCGGGGACCUGGCGCGUCUGCUCGCCCGCUGCGCACGCCCACUUGGCCACUUGCUCCGGUUCUUGUCCUGGACAUCUUCCCGCAAUUCUCCCUGAUGGACAGUUGGUGCUCGUGGGAGGGGAGGGUGAGCGUGCCAAAGAGGCGCCAGGGUCGGCAGCGUCUUCCAGAGGGUCUGCAGCAGCUCAGCAGAUGAGUAGGAAAAAAGAGAGGCCGGAGGGAGAACAUGGGAUGUGUAUACUGUGUGCGGUUGGGAGGAGGAAUCGAGUAUUUGCUUCAUAGGACAUGCAAGUGGGAAGUAACCUUCCUUCUCCCAGCAUGUUCCUCACUGUUUUUCUCAUUUAUGAGAUUUGUCCUUUUUCGGAAACAAAGACAAAGACUCUUUAGUUUGUCGCCCAACAAGCUUUUUGAGUACUGCAGUGCGUUGUAUUUCUAUAUACUUACUCUGUGCGGCUCUUGUAAGAAUGAUUAAAACAUUGAGCAUCAUUCUUUGGUUAGAGUAGUUUGCCUAUACCUAAUUUAUGUGCAGGAUAAAUGCUCUGCUCCUUUUCUCAGGUCGUAGAAUAAAACGAUGUGUGCUUGGACAUCAUCCAUGAAGUUAAGCUACUGUAGGACAAGGUUCAGUUUUAGAGGUGGGGCCUCGAAUUUGGUGACCUCCCCUCUGAGGUCCCUAGGGUUCUGAUGAAUGGGAGAUGGACUGUUCUUGUUCCAUCUUAUCCCUGCUCUGCCCAGGAGUAAAGUUUUCCUUUGGUUUGCAGUUGAAAGGGAAACAAGGGUUGUAUUCAGUACUGCUUCUAAGUCUUUAAUUGGAAUGUCAAGCUCACACUUCAAAUAGGCUGAUUCGUUAAAAUUAAAGAUGUAGAGUAAAUUUCGGCAAAGCCAAUCUGUCUUUGCUAUUAGCUUCUUUUAUAUAAUCUUUCAUGCACUCGACUGAAAAAUAAAAUACUGAACAUUUAUGCAGUUAGAUGUCAGUACACCUUUUGGGGAGUAAUGACUGGGAAGGGGCACGAGGAAAUCUGGGUACAACAAAUCAUUUUUUGAUUUGGUUUAUGACAUUUCAUUGAAGUAAAUGUUAUCAUGUAUGUUUAUAUCUAUAUGUAAAUUGUAUUAUUUUCCCCUCUUUCUGGCUGCCCUGAGGCAUAUGGAGUUCCCAGGCCAGGGAUCAGAUCCAAGCCACACUUGUGACCUGUGCCGAAGCUGCAGUAGUGCUAGAUCCUUUAACCCGCUGUGCCAAGCCGGGGAUCGAACCUGUGUUCUGGUGCUACAGAGAUAACCACUGAUCCCAUUGGGCCACAGUGGGGACUCCUAUAUCUAUAUGUCAAAAAAAGUUAAAAAAAUUGAUUAAGGCAUUCUCUGGUAGUGUAGUAGGUUAAAGAUCCAUUCUGGCCAUUGCUGUGGCUCAGGGCACUGCCCUGGUGCAGGUUUGAUCCCUGGCCCAGGAAUUUCCAAAUGCUGCUGCUGGCAAAGCCAAAGGGGGAAAAAAAUUAAGAGUAAGGUGAGUAAUGGUCAACUCUGGAUGCUAUGGUAUAUUUGCAACUCUUUGCCUAGUUAAUUUCUCUAUUAGCAGUGUAGUUUCCCAAUGCUGUAUUUCCUCACCUCUGAAAAUUUUUCCGGGUAUUGAUAUGAUCUGCUAGCCAAAGGCAACUACUGAAUUUCUAAGAGAUGUUACUAUUUAACCUGACUUAAAGACUUUGCUUCACAUUGUGUAAAAUAAACUGAUUCUCUGCUCUUAAGUUCUCAUUUCAGAAGUAUUAGUGGUAUCUGUUGUGUCACAGCUUCCGUACUUCAGAUAACUAAAGCCUGCCACCAUUGAGACUGUGCUUCCACCUAUCUCACUUGGAUGCUGCAGUGGAAAAACUAAAAUUUUUGGCAGGGCAUCAAAAGGCUUAGUUGAGUUGCCCUUUGAAGACAAGAUACUCUGCUCUUUAUUGGCCAAACGAUACUUAAAAUUGUUUAAUUUUUACGAGGCGCCACCUCUAUUAGAGACUUAUAUUUCAUGUAUAUACCUUGUAUUUGUAUGUCUGUAUUUCUGCAAAUAACAACUACUUGACUUGCCUCUCUUUUCCUUCAGGUAACAGAAUUCAAUUACAAUGGGGAACGUUUUUGAAAAACUCUUUAAAAGUCUCUUUGGGAAAAAAGAGAUGCGGAUUCUGAUGGUGGGUUUGGAUGCCGCUGGGAAAACCACCAUCUUAUAUAAGUUGAAGCUGGGAGAGAUUGUGACGACCAUCCCUACAAUCGGUUUCAAUGUGGAGACGGUGGAAUAUAAAAACAUCAGCUUCACAGUCUGGGAUGUCGGUGGCCAAGACAAAAUCAGACCUUUAUGGCGACAUUAUUUCCAGAACACACAAGGUCUGAUUUUUGUGGUCGACAGUAACGAUAGAGAGCGGGUCAAUGAAGCCCGAGAAGAACUAACCAGAAUGUUAGCUGAAGAUGAGCUCAGAGAUGCAGUUUUAUUGGUGUUUGUAAAUAAACAGGAUCUUCCCAAUGCUAUGAAUGCAGCAGAGAUAACAGACAAGCUCGGCUUACACUCCCUCCGCCAGAGGAACUGGUACAUUCAGGCUACUUGUGCCACCAGUGGAGAUGGGCUUUACGAAGGCCUGGACUGGCUCUCCAACCAGCUCAAAAACCAGAAGUGACGGGAAGCGCUCCGUUCCCUGUGCAUCAUGGCCAAAGCAGCUGGCCUCUCUGUGUGCGUGUGUGCGUGUGAGGAGCCGAGUGUGGGCGUGUGGCCGGGCGUGGGAGCAGCUUUCUCACAUGGUGCCUUAUACAUGUGCUAGGGAAACCAGUCUUACAUGUUAUGAACAACGAGUGUUACAUUUUAAAUGCUACCUUCCAUUUUAAUGGCUGUGAUGGCCAGUUUGGCAGUGGAUGCAGGGGUCCAGGGGGCUCCGUGCACAACAACCAGAGUGGCCUCGAGAUGGGAAGAAGGCGGAGGGUGGGCGGGGGACCGAGUUCGUUUGUGCCGUCCUGGGUCUGGCGUCUCUGCCCACCUGGGGUCCGCUCAGACUUUGGCAUCCUUUUCCCAUCACUGCCAGAGCUAGCAGCUCGCCUUUCAGUGCUUUGAAGCAAAUGGUCCUCAAGAGAAAAAGGCUCUUGCUUCCUGCAGGUAAGAAGUUCAGAUUUGAACUUUUCCCUGAAGCGAUAUUCUAACCUGGAUUUCCUGGUUUAAUUGAAAGGAAUCGGUGGUCUUUUUCCAUGAGGGUAUCAGGACCUAGAAACUCUAGAAAAGCAUCCAGUCCUUUCCUUCUUUGCCUCUUAGUUGCCAAAUGGAGACCCUGGGGUCGUGACCCCAGCACGCAGCAAAGGCUCUUCCCCGGGCUCCACAGCCGCACGUGCAGGGUCCAGUUAAGGCAGGAGGUGCCGGUGGAGCCUGUGUUCCUGCAUCACCGCCCCGGGCUUCAGGCUCCUGAGACCGCUGCUCCCACGUGUCUGCUUUGUGCUGAAUGUUCUCCGCUCACAGCUGGACGUUCCCUCCUGGGGUGGAACUGUCACUGUGUACAGUGUCUCAGUCCAGCCUUCGGUUUGGAUGAGCUGCUGUUCCCAGAACCACACGCCUGUGAGUUCUGUGCGUCUGUCAGAGAAUCAGGUGGUCAACACCGGGGGGUGAAGCUCCCGGCAGCCCCUGGUGUGGUCCCCGAGGUGGUUGGUGCUAAAGUUCGCUAUGAAGAAUGUCUCGUCCAGACCACUCUCCGUAGCCCUGACUCCCUCGUCUGGCUGGGAGUAAUGUCUUCGGUGGAAAGAUGUCUUAGGUUGUCCUCAGAACAGUCGGAGAAAUGGCCCGGAAAUGAGCUCAGUCACUCGGUAUCUAGAGCACUUUUGCCCAGACAGCUGUUGGCCAAAUUUGCACCGAAGCUCUUCCACUACUACCUUUUAAAAUUCCUUAGCCAAGGAGGAAAAUGUUAGGUGAAUUUUAACAAAAGUAAACCAUGUUUAUUGACAGCAAUGAAGUAGCUAUAACUAGGAAGAACUUUCAUGCCAUGAUAAAUGUGGGAUGUAAUGUUUUUCUUUCAAAUAGUGACUUUAAAGAAUGCUCAUUGUACUCCUGGCUACAGAGUCCAGAUUUGAUUUUUACUCAUGGGGUUAAGUCCUGAGAAACAUUUAGACUGUACGCCUCAGACUGGCAGGACCUGUGUCUUAUACUUUUGUAUUUAUGCUCAAUACCGUGUGCCUGGUACAGCCCUAGGCCUGGGUGAACACGUGUUGAUUGGCUGGACAAUAAAGACCUUGCUUUGGACAGAGGGGAGGACA